UACGUAGGGGGCAAGCGUUGUCCGGAAUCAUUGGGCGUAAAGAGCGUGUAGGCGGCUCGGUAAGUCCGCUGUGAAAGUCCAGGGCUCAACCCUGGAAUGCCGGUGGAAACUGUCGAGCUAGAGUCCGGAAGAGGCGAGUGGAAUUCCUGGUGUAGCGGUGAAAUGCGCAGAUAUCAGGAGGAACACCGAUGGCGAAGGCAGGUCUCUGGGCUGUAACUGACGCUGAGGAGCGAAAGCGUGGGGAGCGAACAGG
rnacentral:rRNA from 1 species